CGACUAUGAGGGGGCAAGUUUCUAAAGACGAGAAGCAAAAAAAUUAUAACUUAUUACACUGUGAAAUUUAUUCUUAUUUAAAACUAACCCAAGUUGGGGCCAUAAUCUUUUAUGAACAUAUAGAGGUUAUUCCUACAUAAAUAUCACUAUAGAGGAGUCUCACUAUAUAUAUAUAUAAUGCAUGUGCAAGAAAAGGUACUAGCCCAGUAUGGAAUGAGAAGUUCGAGUUCAGGGUUGACUCUCCAUUGACAGAUGACAAUCAAUACGAACUCGUGCUCAAGAUAAUGGAUCACGACACCUUCAGUGCAGAUGAUUAUCUUGGGCAAGCAACGUAAGACAUUAUGGAAUUUAUCAAAUGCACAUAUUCUUUAAUAUACAUUCAAUCUUAUUCUUUUCUAGUCCAGUGUAAUUUACCAUAGACUAAAUGCAUUGUAGGAUCUAUGUGAAAGACCUUAUAAAAAUAGGGGUGGAAGAAGGAAAGGCUGAAAUUCAUCCUCAAAAAUAUAGAGUUGUCUCCACCGAUCAAAUUUAUUACGGAGAGAUUCAAGUAGGAAUUACUUUCACUGCAAAGGUACCCUUUUCUAAUGUCCCUCAAACUCUAUGAAUUGAUCAGAUGAAAUUAAUUGCUUUUUCAUUUUCUAAGAAGUAGAAUAUAACAAUCUAUUCCUGGUGUACAAGGUUUGAUCAAUGUUAAUUAUUUGAUUACAGCAAAAAACUGUUGAAGAAGAAGAAGAAGAAUAUGGCGGAUGGAAGGAAAGCGACUACUAGUUUUCCUACCGGCUACAUGGAACUUUCUGCAAGCAAUAAUUUAAUUUUCAGUGAAUAAUUUAGAAGUAUGUAAUAAUCCUUUUCUGUGUCUUUGAAGUAAUUAGACUGCACGAAUAUAUUAUUUUGGCAAAAAUGUAUUUAUUGUAAAAUAGAAUGUGUUGUUAAGAGGUAAAUCUCACAAUGUCUAAAUAUCGAAAUAUAAACAAUAU
rnacentral:lncRNA from 1 species